CCAAAUAUAUUUUCCGGAGUGGAUUUACAAUAGAAUGAGGCAAGGACAAGAGCUCUGUUUGGAAUUUGAGGAAGAUGGGGAUGAGGGAAUUGCCAGAAAGCUUGCAAUUGUGGCACUUUGGUGCAUUCAAUGGAAUCCCACGGAGAGACCUUCCAUGCCAAUGGUAUUACAAAUGCUUGAAACUGAUUUACAAAGCUUGGAGAUCCCUCCAAUGCCCUUUGUCUCUUCUGAUGUUGAGACAGGUGCAAUCACUUGAUCUAGAUAACAGAAGAUUACAAUUUAAAAGGGAUAUUGUUAAUUUGUUUGAAAAUUUCCCCGAUUAUAAGAAAAAUUAAUUAGUCCUCCUUGUUAUUGGAGCACUUGAAAAUCAGUAUAUUGAGUUUUUGUUCGAUUGUGGUUGUUUUAUCUAUCGCUUAAAAUCUUUGAUGUGUUCAACUGAUACAACAUUAAUACAAUAAUAGAUGACUUUUUUCAAUUUGUCAUAUUAGUUGAGGACCUACUAUUGUACUUCUAUUACCUACUUGAGAAUUGAGAUGAAUGAAAUUUAUUAUUUUAAAAUAUAAAAAACUUAAUAUUAUCUCUCAUAUUGGACAACAUAUUUACAUAUGUUGUCGUAUUGUGCGCUCAAAUAAAAUUGAGGAAACUUUUUUUUUUCAUGAUGAUUUUUUUCCUUUAAAACCAAAAUAAAGUUAGGAUUCAUUUAUGUUUUAGUCACGUGCUUGUUUCAAAAUUUUACUUUCUUACAACGUUUUUAUGAUUUUUUAAAAUGUGCUCUCAUAUUUGUUAAAUAUAAAAAUUAAAGUCCAUGAUAUUAUAUUCAUCUUUAAGUUUCUCAAACAGCUACUUUGGAAGUGAAUCAGACAAGCAGGAAAAAAAUGAACAAAGAAAACGGAACAGUUCAUGGCUUUAUGUUUCUUUAUGGACUGCAGUUGCCUCCAAGAAUAGCCCAAGUCAUUAGUGGGCUUUUAAUUCUGCUCCCAUGAAAAGCCCAAAGCGUCCACGAUGAAGCAGGUCACAGGAGCAGUCCCAAUUCUGAAUCUCUCUCAACUCCUCAAGCGGGGAUUCAAUUUGAAUGCCGCCAUUUGCCUCAUUUCACAAUACAGAUAUGCAUGCAUGGAGGAUAUAUAUACACUGGGUUUAGUUGUGUAUACAUAACUUAUAAAGUUAUAAUUGUAUUAUGAGUAUAUAUGUAUAUGUAUGUAUGUGUGUGUCUGUGUGUGUGUGUGUGUAUGAACAAAUAAAAUAACAAUCAAAUGAAAAUUAACAAGUAACACCUGGAAGAAGAUCAGUGGAUCACUACAGUUUUGAGGGCCAAAUGAAGCUGCGCGUUGAUGACAGAAUAUAGAGAGCACAAAGAUUUAAAAUGCGUUUGAUUAAUGGCAUUUUAAUUUAUGUGCUCUCUAUCUUCUGUCAACAAAAUUUCAGAAAUUUAGCGCCCUCUACUUCAAUCAGAACAAACACACGCACCAAAUAUUAAAGAGGAAAAAAAACAUCACCAAUCGAUACGCUUUUGUCUCCACAAUAAUAAAUAGCAGUUGAAUAGCCUUGGAAGCGGGCAUAUCCGUAGCAGCACGAAAUUGAAGUACUUGAUAAAUUGUUUACAGUAGCAAGGUAUUUGUAUGCAUGAUGCUAGUUAAAUGGUCGCAGGCUUAAAAGCAUUUUUUUUAUAAAGUGCUUCCCCCUAUUAGGCUGGAGAUAAAUCAAGUCUACAUUGCUUUCCCUCCUUUUCUUGUUCGCCUUUUGCAAUAGAUAUGUUAUUAUAUUGUUUUUUUUUAGCAGCACAUUUUCAUGAGACUGCUAUUGCCAUAUCGACUGCCAAGUUAAUCAUUUGAUCAAUAUUUUAUUUUAUGGAUUUGAAUUCGACAUGACAGAUAUUAAAAACAAGUGGCAUACAACAUGAUAAAAUUGUACGUCAAUAUAUACAUUAUACUAAUGCAGCUGCGAGUAUGUGACAUUUGAAAUGAGCGACUAUUUCAUUAAAGCCAUUUACGGCAGAACUACAUACCACAUGAAACACAACAGGACUCGUUAAAAUGUAACAAAAUUAAUACGAAAACAUUUGAUAGAGAGGAAAUCUCUGCACAAGUGACUUGCCUUCAUAAAAUAUCAUGGUGAUUGGUGAGGGCUACUCAUAGAACCAAUCCUGAAUCGGAAAUGGAGAGUUUUGAAAAUCAUAUGAAAAAUUAGCUUACGAAGACACAUCAAAAUGUUGCACCAAGCAUAAGAUUCAAGAUAUCCUUAGCUCGAAUAUGUUGUAUGUAAGUUAAGUGGAAAUAUCAUGAUGUAAGUUAAGUGGAAAUAUCAUGACACAUUGAUUUUUAUUUAUUUUCCCCUUUUCGCCUAACUAGUAUUUUAUGGUGGUCUAACUUUUUCUAUCUGUAUACUAUGUGUGAUGAAUAACAUAUAAAUUGAUCUAAAGUUUAGUCAUAAAUUAUACCAUUGGUACUCUAAUCUACUUGAGAUUAAUGAAUGUCGUAUAUGAUAAAAAAAAUUAUUAAUAUCAUUAUAUGCUGUCAUAUCCCAUGAUCAAACUAAGUAUUCGACCAUUAAUUUUCCAAUAUCAUUAUUUGAUAUAUUUACUUGUCCCCAUAAUCACAGUCUAACAAUUUAUGUUUUUUUUUUUUGGGGUCUCAAUAUGAAGCCCAACUCAUUUUAGGCAUUCAAUGUUUAAAUCAUUAAAAAGCUUAAAUAGUCCCCAAUGCGCAAGAAUAGAUUCAUAUCCUCAUGGCCUUUUUCGACAUAACUGAUUUGUCAAAAGUGUGUGUGUAUGUAGACACACACACACAUAUAUAGUCAUGUGUGGAAAUCUGCAUCCUUUAAAACGUGAAUUUACUAAUAUAUUGUAUAUUAGUUAAUUGAAAAAAGUUAAUAAAAACACUAAAGCACUAAAUGGUAUAUACGUGCCGUCACACACGCCUACAACAUAGAAACGUAUCAUGCAUUAUAUAUUAUGCGAUUGUGCGCAUUUGAUCAUAAUUUAAUAUAUAUAUAUAUAUAAAUCUGUCUUAAUUCAUAAAAAUAAUAAUAGUAACAAUAAUAAUAAUUACAACAGCAUAAUUUUUAGAAACGCGUGAACUUGACAUGAGAAGUCCUCGUUCUUCUGCGUGUCGGUCGCUUUAAAAGCGUUGGUCGUCGGGGGCCGUUCCAAAUUUCCAAUGCCGCGUUUCUCCAAAUCCUGUUAACAUAAAUAAAUAAAUAAAGUAAGCCAUUGCGUUUGGUGGUGAGAAAAAUUAUGAAAGCGAAUGAUAUUGACCGGAAUUGGACAGCAUACAUGGAAACUGUUUCCAAUAAGUUCUAUCGCUUUUAAUAUUGAAAGGACGUUUACUAAGAAAUUUGAGGUCAAGCUAGAAUGGGGAUGGAUGGAUCAUCCCAUUCCCACCGAUGCUAACUCAUUUACAAUUACCAGGAAAUUAAGCGACUUCACUUUGCCGUAUUGACUUCCCCACUGAAAUCUGAAAGCUUCCACCUAAACAAAUCGUGGAAAGAGACUUCAGAAGCUGCGUGGCAUUCGCAUACAAAAUUUACGGUAAGAAACGAAAUUGAACAUGUUUAUCCAAAUUUGUCCCUUUAUCUUCCAUUGCAUUAAUGCUAGAAGCCCAGAGCUCAGUAAUUAAAAAUUUUCUUCCAUCGUGUCGAUUUCAUUUUAUGAAUAAUUAAUAGUAUUUUUAAACAAAUUAUUUAGCGCUAAUUAAUUCAAUCACAUAAGUUGUAUACUAAGCUAUGAUAAGUUUAAAGCCUGCCUCUCAUCGUGCAAGUGAAACUGUAGAAAACAUAGCGCAUUGACACUUUUAUACCGUUCUGCUUAGUUUAUUCAAAUUUGUUAAUUGUAUCCUGGAAUUGGAGGAGCAAUGAGUAGUGAAGAAGCUUCAAUUUUCCCGACUUUUCUGUUUUGUCUGUUGAUGUUUGUAUUCAGCCCCAGUGAAAUUGAAACAAGAAAACUUGAAGUAAAAAUGUGUUCUUCUUGUGGAGAUGUCAAAAACAUAAGCUACCCUUUUCGCCUCAAGGGCAAUCCAGCUGGAUACAGCAAUCCGGAGUCAGAACUUUCUUGCGAGAGCAACAAAACCAUCUUAGAACUCAAUUCUGGAAAUUACUAUGUGAAGAGAAUUUCCUAUGAUGAAAGUACAAUCAGUGCUGCCGAUGUUAACCUAGCCAAUGGAAGCUGCAGCCUCCCGUACAAAUCUUUUUCCCUACCUUAUUACUUUUUCGGAAAUUUUUUUCAGUACAUUCUUAAUCCAUACGCCUAUUACGUGAAUUGCUCGAGUAAUAUUGUUGAUGUGGCGUUUACAAAAGUUCCAUGUUUAUAAAUACUUAUGCAUUCAAAUGCAAGGGCUUUGUUUUUGUUUUUCAAUAUUGUACGUAAUAAAGAAUUUGUGAACUAUCUCUAAGAGCAUACCGAUAUGACCUUUAAUUUCUGUUUCUUUUCACUUUUGCAACAGUUUGCAUCCACAAUGCAGGAGUAGUGGCAAAGAUUAUUUGCUACCCAUAUUAUAUACGUAAGCAUAUCCUUAUACAUCUUUUUGAUCAUGUGUUUUCGACGUUAAUAAAUGCGAUGGGUUCAUAUAUUCUCUAGUCUUUUACUCUAUAUUUUUUUCUGAAUCAUCUCUCUGAUUAGGCAUAAAGCUUAUUUUUAUUUUUUUUCCCUCUCACCAAUUGCAGUUAACUUAGUAAUUUCCCAAGCAAUCUUUUAGCCUUCCACAAUGUACUCAUCAGGAAUGUGGGAUUAGAUAAGUUUUCUGUCAGGUAAAAUCUCCUCUCCAGGAUCCUCUUUUUAUUGCUUUGCUUAGUACUAUUUACUUUCAAAUAUCAUUCUCCUUACCAGGGUUUCCACUUGAUGUUCCGAUAAUUGGUAGAUUUAUUCUUGCUCCAAUAGUCUUUCUCGUGUUCCUUAUCCAAAAAUAUAGAAAAUCAUUGGAGAGAGUCGAUAGUCUUGAGAAAUUUCUGCACAACCAGCAAUCGUGGAUGCCUAAAAGGUACUCUUACCCCGAGAUAAUUGCCAUGACAAACCACUUCACUCAUAAAUUAGGCCAAGGUGGCUUUGGUUCAGUUUAUAAAGGACAGCUUCAUACUGGUGGCUUGAUUGCUGUUAAGAUGCUGGAGAACUCCAAGUUCAGUGCGGAGGAAUUCAUCAAUGAAGUUUCAACAAUCGGUAGAAUUCACCACGUUAAUGUAGUCCAGCUAUUGGUGUUCUGUUCCGAGGGAUCCAAACUCGUUCAAGCAAAGCAUAUUUCCCAUCUUGGGUAUAUGACCAAUUAAAUAAGGGAGGUGAUUUAGAGCUUCGGAAUGUGACUGAAAUCGAGUCCAUGAUUGCAAGGAAACUGUGUAUGAUUGGUUUAUGGUGUAUUCAGGUGAAGCCAGCUGAUCGCCCCUCCAUGACAAAAGUUUUGGAAAUGUUAGAAGGGAGUAUCGACGAUUUGCAAAUGCCUCCGAAACAUUUCUUCUCUUUUUCUCGACAUGUCUCUGGAAGAGAGAUUGAAUCAGAUUCUUCAACAGAGUUGUUAGUGUCUGAAUCAAUUGAAUGUUCUUUCAAUGAUAGUUAUGCUUAGUUUUGGCAAUGAUACGUGGAAAAAAGAAAUAAAUUGUCCUCGCACUACCAGAGCUUCUGUAACAUUAUGUUGAAAAAUUUCAGUACGAUUCAUUGUUUGAUGUGAAUAUUCCAAUAUUGCUCGUAUCGACCAGAAUGUGAUGUAGGUUUGUCACGUGAUCAUGUACAUUCAUCAACCUUUUGCAACGCUGCUUGCUGCAUAUCUGAUUGAGCUAGAGUAUGCUUUGAACUCUCUGCUCCUGCUCAACUUAAUUUAAAGUACAAUUACCAAAGUAUAUGGGAGACACCUAGCUAUCACCACACAUCCACUUUUGCUUAAUAGCUAAUAAUUGAAUCCCACAACAGUGGUGAAUUAAAAGACACAUAGUUCCCAUCAAUCCUAAACUCACCAUUAGUCUCACACUGAUAUAUCAUGGUAAGCAGAGGGUAGUUGCUAAGAAUUACCCGUUUUCUAAAGAAAAUUACUUACUGAUCUUAAAAACAUAAUUUUCUCAUUUCUUUACCUACAAAUUACUUUCACAACUCUCACUAAAAUCUAUAUCACAAACAGCAUGUCUCAUCCUGUUCCUCCAUGCAUCUGAUAUUGGCAGAUAUUGAAGUUGACGAGUCUCUUUGGGGCUACCAUUGACUUAGAAAAAGGAGAAAAGAAAGAAGGAAAGAACCGAAGAAAUUAAAAGAAACCCAUUUUCCUACCUUUUUCCAUGACAAACUGACAAUCAAACUCUCCUCUCCCUUAUUACUCCAAAAGCAUAACUCAAACUCUGCUCUAACUCAAAAUCCGCUCUCCCUCUCCUUCCAUGUCCCUCGUGAUGAGUUUAAUAAUCCUCUUCCUCUUCUUACCUAACACAUGUACAUUAGCCAAAGCUUCUGCGGAAGACAAGAAGACCGAUAAAUAUGAAUUCUGUCAACCAACAAAUUGCAGUAAUAGUAGCCCAAGUAUCAGAUAUCCCUUCAGACUCAAAACUCAGCCAACAUCUUGUGGCCUUGAAGGGUUUGAAUUGUCAUGCUUAAGUGACAAGACAAUCUGGCAUCUUCCUUCCUCCGGGGAUUAUUAUGUCUAUGAAAUUUCUUAUCUGGACAACAGUAUUACCAUUACAGAUGUGAAUGAGAUGGCAUGCCAGUUUCAAUUUCUUAUCUCUUUCAACCUCACACACUCCAAAUUCUUUUUUCUUCCCUUUAACGAAAGUUACGCUUUAUGUAACUGCACUUCGAAGGUUGUAGAUGUAGAACGGACUUCUGUUGAACUAAUUGGACCGAUCAAUUGUCUUAGCAGUGAAAACAAUUAUGUGUAUACCAUAGAUAGCAAUUAUUCAAUGGAGGAUAUGCCUUCACAUUGCAGAAAAUCUCGAACAGUUGAGAUUCCUGCUGGAUUACCUCUCCAGGAUGUUGCUACGACGGCGAGGCCAACUCCAGUAGUAUUAGGAUGGAGAGCUCUUGAUGGAUGCUACGACUGCGAAAAUUCAGGGAAUUAUUGUGCGUUCAACACUACAAGCAAUUCGACAAUCUGCGUUGCCGUUAAACACCAAAAACGUAAGUAACCAUAUCUUUUCUCAGUCACCUCUCUCUACAGUGCUUGAAAGUGAAAGCAUUGUCUUUAUUUAGCUGACAAAAAAAAUAAUAAGUUGAAUUUAUUAUCAUUGUUAUUGUAGCGAAUUGGGUGCUUUAGAAAAUGAUGAACAACCCAAUACACUGCCUAAGAUCACAAAUCUAACCAACAAGAUGCUAAGACCCUAAACAAAGAACCUUUAAGUGUUAACAGAGCCUUUAAUGCAAAUCGUUGUAAUAAGAAGAAACCAAGAAUCAGAAUUGGAAACUAAUGAAACUCAGAAGCAAGAAAAAGUUUUACAUGGUUUGAUUGUGUAGAAGAGCACAAUCUACAUCCACAGGAGAAGCUCACAGAGCAAGCUUUAUUGAUGAUUCAAGUAAUCUUUAUAGAGUAAUACAAGAACUAACUACUAGGAUCAAGACUAAGCUUUCUCUCUAUCUUAACUCUCUUUAUCACGCUCUUAGAUCGAUGAUGAACCUGCCCUAUUAACCAGCUUAUAUAACAGCUGAUAUCAAUUCCAGAAUGCACAGAUUCUUGCCACAUGUACUAACAGCUUUCUUAACUGACUUGAUUCUCCUCUUCAUGUGCACUCCACAUGUUCCACUUAAGCCUUUAUCCAAAACGUCAUAAAUCCUUGCCGUUUCAGACUUAAGUAACCUACAUGCCAAGCUCGUGAUACCUGAGCUCAUUAAACAUAAACAAAAUGCUGCCAUUUAACUUGCUCAAGUUUUGGAUUCACCAUUUUAGUCCACAUUUCUCCACCUUGAACCAAAACUCCUCAAUCUGCUUCAUUCUCCAAAACCUCAGGCAAUCAGCAGUCACCCAAGCUGGCUAGGCUCAAGCACACCUUGAACUUAGCUGUAGUUACCACCUUAGUAAGCAUAUCAGUAGGGUUCUCAUCAGUAUGAACCUUGGACAUUUUCACAGCUCCUUUGGAUACUUCAUUUUGAAUGAAAUGAAGUUUAAUGUCUAUGUGUUUUGUCCUCUAAUGAUGUGCAGGGUUCCUACACAAAUGAAGUGCACUCGAGCUGUCACAAUAUACUGUUACUGUCUUCUGUUUCACCCCCAGUUCUCUCAUUAAUCCUUGUAGCCAUAAUGCAUGUUUCACAGCUUCAGUGGCAGCUGUGUAUUCUGCCUCAGUGGUUGACAGAGCUACCACAUGUUGCAGAGUGGCUUUCCAAUUCAUGAGACAACCACUAAACAAGAGCAUGUAACCAGUUAAAGACCUCCUCCUGUGUAAGUCCCCUGCAUAAUCUGAAUCCACAAACCCCAGCAGAUCUUCACAACUUCCUUUAUUUUUUCCAUACACCAGGCCACAGCUCAAUGUACCAGACAGAUACCUCAUUAUCCACUUAACUGCUUUCCAGUGCUCAUUUCCAGGUGUUGCCAUGUAUCUGCUCACAACGCUCACAGCAUGUGAUAUGUUUGGUCUUGUCAAGACCAUGGCAUACAUAAGGCAUCCCACUGCAUUAGCAUAAGGUACAUCUUCCAUUUCCAGCUUCUCUUCACUUGUUUUAGGACAUUGCAAGUUACUAAGCCUAAAAUGAGCUGCUAAGGGAGUCACAACAUGUUUAGAAUUCAACAUUUGAAAUGAGUGCAGUACUCUGGUCAAAUAUUUCUUCUGUGAUAAGAACAUAAGACCAGCAGCUCUAUCUCUUUCAAUUUCUACCCCUAAUAUUUUCUUUGCAAUCCCCAAAUUCUUCAUAUCAAACUCAGAGCUUAUGAUCUUCUUCAAAUCCUCUAUUUCUUCCCUUACUUUGCAAGCUAUCAGCAUGUCAUCUACAUAUAGGAGGAGAUAUAUGUAGAGGUCAUCCUUCAACAGUUUGUAGUACACACAACAGUCAUAACUACAUCUCAUGAAUCCAUGUGUUACCAUAAAUUCAUCAAAUCUGAGAUAUCAUUGUCUAGGAGACUGUUUUAAACCAUAAAGGGAUUUCUUAAGCAAGCAAACAUGUCUGGGCUUCUUGGGGUCUUCAAACCCCUCAGGUUAAGUCAUGAAUAUUUCUUCUUGAAGUCUUUCAUGUAAAAAAGCAGUCUUGACAUCAAGUUGAUCAAGCUCCAUGUCUUGAACUGCUGUAAGUGAUAAGAUUACCCUUAUUGAGGCAUGCCUGACAAUAGGUGAAAAAACUUCUUUAAAGUCAACCCAUUCUUUCUGUGUAUAGCCCUUUGCCACAAGCCUUGCUUUAAAUCUCUUUGGUUCUGAGCUGGUCAGUCCUUCUUUGAUUUUGAAAAUCCACUUGCAGCCCACUAUUCUCUUUUUUUCUGGUCUUUCUACCAGUUCCCAAGUUUUAUUGUUGUGCAGGGACAAGAUUUCAUCAUCCAUGGCCUCUUUCUAUUCUGUUCUGAAUUUGCUCUGGAUUGCCUCAUUGAAGGUCUUUGGUUCCUCAUCAUCAAUUUCAUGUGCAACUUCCAAGGCAUACGUGAUGAGAUCAGCAUAUCCAUAUCUUCUGGGUGGUCUUGUUAGCCUUUUUGCUCUGUCUCUAGCUAGCUGGUAACCUUGCAUUUGUGAUUCCAGUUGAGUUGCAUCCUGAGCUUCUGACUCAUCAUUUAUUUCACCUGAAUCUGCAGCUUCAUGUGUUUCACGAUGAUUAGGUAGCUCCACCUCAAACUGAUGUGUAUCAAGCCCUUUUGCUUCUUCCUCAGACUUUCUUUGAACAAGUUUCUUGGGUAUGAGUUCUUCUUCAUUGAAUAUCACAUCCCUGCUAAUUAUGCAUUUUGGAGGGUUUAUAUCUGUGCACCAGAUUUUGAAUCCCUUAACCCCUUUUGGAUAACCUAUGAAGAUGCCCUUUAAAGCCUUAGGAGCUAGCUUUCCCUAGCUUACAUGUAUAUAAGUUGUACAGCCAAAGACUCUUAGAUCUCCAUAGUUUGCUGGCUGUCCAGUCCAUCUUUCAUAAGGUGUUUUGAAUUCUAUGGCUGAAGAUGGACUAAGGUUGACCAGGUAACAGGCCGUUAAGAGUAUUUCUGCCUACAAUGACUUGGGGAGAUUUGUUUGAACAAGCAUGCACCUCACUCUCUCCAUGAAUGUCCUGUUUAUCCUUUCUGCCAGGCCAUUCUGUUGGGGUGUCAACCUAACAGUUCUGUGUCUCAUAACUCCCUCCUCUGCACAAUAUUUUUCAAACCUUUGAUUACAAAGCUCUAAGCCAUUGUCUGUUCUAAGCUUUUUCAGCUUCUUUCUAGUCUGAUUCUCAACCAAAAUUUUCCACUCUUUGAACUUAUCAAACACUUGAUCUUUACUCUUCAAGGUAUAGACCCAUACCUUUCUGGAAUAAUCAUCAAUGAAUGAUAGAAAAUAACUAUUACUCCUUAGAGAUAUCUGUUGAGCAGGCCCCCACAAAUCUGAAUGAACAUACUCCAACUUAUCCUUGGACUUAUGUACUGAUCUCUUGAAACGAGACCUUGUUGCUUUGCCUAGCACACAAUCUUCACAGAAGUCUAAGUUUCCAAGCUUCUCAUUCCCUAAUACACCUUGUUUCUUAAGUUCUUUAAGGCCCCUUUCACCUAUGUGUCCUAACCUUAGAUGCCAUAUUUUGAUUUUAUCAAUGGUAUCAGCCACUAACAUUUUAGCUUCACCAUUAACUACAUCCCCAUCUAAGAUGAACACCCUAUUUUUCCUGCUACCUUUCAUAACAAUCUGUGAAUCUUUGACAAUCAUCAGCUCUCCUGAUUCAAUCCUAACACUACACCCCAUUUGAUCAAGCAUUCCCAAAGAAAUCAGAUUUCUUUUCAACUCAGGCACAUACCUGACUUGUUUUAGCUCCCUAAUAGUUCCAUCAUGUAGCUUAAGAUUAACAUUGCCAAUUCCCAUGAUUUUACACACAACAUUAUUCCCCACCAUUACUCUACCACCAUUAUACUCAUAAUAAUCAGUAAAGUAACUCUUGUAUGGGCUCAUAUGAAAAGUACACCCUGAGUCAAGAACCCAUUUACCUCUAUCUUUGCUGUCUGUGGCAAUGCACACUCCAGCAGAUUCAUAGCCCUCUUCUUCAGCUACUGCUGCACCUCCAUCUUACCCUUUUUUUUUGAACUUCUUUUCUGGACAAUCUUUCUUGAAGUGUCCCUCUUUGUGACACAAGAAACACUUCAGAUCUUUAGGUUUUUCUUUGUACUUGCCUUGCUUCUUUUUCUUGCCAUCUGAUUUGGCUUUUGCUGUUAAACCUUGACCUGAUUCAACUCCUAGAUGAUAUUGUUUGCCUUGCAGUUCCUUUGCAUUGAGUGCUGACUUUACUUCAUCCAGAGAUAGUGUCUGCCUGCCAUACAUCAAGGCAUCAACAAAAUUUCCAUAUGACCUUGGCAGAGAGCUUAUCAACAGAAGAGCUUUAUCUUCAUCAUCAAGGGCCGCAUCAAUAGUUUCCAAAGUGUCACACACUUUGUUAAACUUAUCUAGGUGAUCAUCUAAUGGUGUGCCCUCCAUCAUCUUUAAUGUGAACAUCCUCUUCUUUAUGUAUAACCUAUUUGCUAGGGAUUUCUUCAUGUAGAUACUCUCUAGUUUAGCCCAUAAACUAGCUACAGUAGGUUCUUUUGCCACCUCCCUUAUUACAGAAUCUGCAAGACUCAAGAUUAUCGUCCUUCUAGCCUUCUUAUCAAUCUCAGCAACCUGCGCAGGAGUCUUGGAUGUGGAGAACUCUUUACCCUCCUUCUUGGUCACUGGUUGGAUUGCAUCACCAAGGCCUUGAGUAACCAGCAAAGCCUCCAUUUUUACUUUCCACAUGUUGAAGUCAUUUUUUCCGUUAAACUUCUCAAGGUCAAUCUUUGGGUUUGCCAUACAGGGAUCUUGAUUUGUUAACCUUGCUAUGAUACCACGUGUAGUGAAUUGGGUGCUUUAGAAAAUGAUGAACAACCCAAUACACUGCCUAAGAUCACAAAUCUAACCAACAAGAUGCUAAGACCCUAAACAAAGAACCUUUAAGUGUUAACAGAGCCUUUAAUGCAAAUGGUUAUAAUCAGAAGAAACCAAGAACCAGAAUUGGAAACUAAUGAAACUCAGAAGCAAGAAGAAGUUUUACGUGGAUCGAUUGUGCAGAAGUGCACAAUCUACAUCCACGGGAGAAGCUCACAGAGCAAGCUUUAUUGAUGAUUCAAGUAAUCUUUAUAGAGUAAUACAAGAGCUAACUACUAGGAUCAAGACUAAGCUUUCUCUCUAUCUUAACUCUCUCUAUCACGCUCUUAGAUCGAUGAUGAAGCUACCCAUUAACCAGCUUAUAUAACAGCUGAUAUCAAUUCCAGAAUGCACAGAUUCUUGCCACCUGUACUAACAGUUUUCUUAACUAACUUGAUUCUCCUCUUCACGUGCACUCCACAUGUUCCACUUAAGCCUUUAUCCAAAACGUCAUAAAUCCUGCCGUUUCAGACUUGAGUAACCCACAUGCCAAGCUCGUGAUAUCUGAGCUCAUUAAACAUAAAUAAAACGCUGUCGUUUAACUUGCUCAAGUUUUGGAUUCACCAUUUUAGUCCACAGUUAUAUAUGCCGGAAAAGUUAUCAAAGCAGUGUAAAUGAAAAGAAAAAUAAUAAUUAGGCUUUGUAUUAUUUUUUCAAUUGUAAAAGUGUAAUUACAAUUGGAAGUUAAAAAUUAAAGAAGCCAUCUAUAUUAAUAGGGGUGGGCACUGGGCAAAGGUUAGAUUUAGUUGAAUUCCGAUGGUCAGUUUUUUUUAAAAAUUAAUAAUUUGAACUGAGCUGAAAGUCCAAUCAAUUUGGUUCGAUUUAGUUAUUUUUUUAUUUGACCUGUAAUUUCUUUUGCGUUUUUCUAUUUUUUUGGUUUUUUAUUUUCUCUCAUAUAAAUCGAUGGAUUUUUUUUUUUUACCCAAAAAAAAUUGACGAUUCAUUUUUUUGGCAGCAAAUACAAUUUUACCCACCCCUAAUCUGUAUGGCGAAUAUCAUUGCUAUAAAGGCUGCUUUCCAGUAUUAUUGCCAGUUGUAGAGUGGUCGAUAAAAUGUUGCUAGCCAGGCUGAUUUGAUUGUUUGAAGAAAAAUUGAUACUACUCAGGACCAAAUAGAUAGUACUAAUUUUCUCUAUCUCGUCACUUUAAUCUUGAAUCUUUAUAUUACAAUUAAUUUUCGUAAGUGGUGAGAGAUUGAUUAAACUCACAAAGCCUGAUAAAAGUUUAAUCUAUCAUAUUUUCUUGCGUACUCGAUGAAUACAAAUUAAGAAGAAUUAUUAUACUAAUACUUUUUUGCUAUGAUUGUCAUACGUCCAUGAUGGCAAAUUUAUUGAGAAUUUUUUUUUUCAAUCAAGUAACCCUCAAUAUUCACAUGGAAUAAGAGAUGAGGGGAAAAAAAAAUCACUUUGUGAAUGUAGAAAGGGAUAAAAAAUGCAUAAUGACAGAGAUUUCUAAUUGUGAUCAUUUUGGUGUUUUCAUUGUGUACUUGAGUGAAAGUUAAAAUUUAAAAAUUGAAGUGUGUAAGGUAAAAGAGCGCUUACUUUGCAGUUCAAAUAAUUUCAUCCUUCUAUUUAUUAUUUUUUCAUUAUUUAAUUAAAUGACAAUCUAAUUAUCUAUCCACUUGUGUGAAUAAGAUAUUUAAUUAUCAUUUAAGUUAUGGACAAAUGCCUCUAUGAGAUGGUCACGUGAGAGGGACUUGUUAAAACCCAAUCAAAUAAUAUUGAGUCUUUAUGCUACCAAGUUAAGCUUGCACGGGUCCAAUCUUUUAGCAUCUCAUUUUAUUGUUUGAGUUGAUUUUUAAACUAACUUUUCUUAGUUAUGUAUAACAGAUGGUCUUGGCCCUUUAUCUGUAAGUCUAAUAUCCACGGGCACAAGCAUCGGAGGCAUCGUUCUCUCCGCGCUGGUGAUAUUUCUCAUCUACAAAUCAAGAGAAUCUGAAAAAGAAAAAGAAACUCAACUGAAGGUGGAGAAGUUCCUCGAAAACUACAGGACCGUCGAUCCCACCCGAUAUACUUACAAAGAGCUGAAGAAAAUAACAAGCAGAUUUAAGCACAGGCUCGGCCAGGGAGGUUACGGAAGCGUGUUCAGAGGAAAACUCUUCAACGGAAUUCCAGUUGCUGUCAGGAUGUUGGAACAUUUAAAAGGAAAUGGACAAGAGUUCAUCAAUGAAGUGGCCACAAUUGGCAGGAUUCACCACUUCCACAUUGUUCGGCUUCUGGGAUUUUGCUCUGAAGGAAACAGACGUGCUCUUAUUUACGAGUUUAUGCCCAACGGAUCACUUGAGAAAUUCAUCUUCUCAAAGACAAAUAGCUCAAGUCAUCGUCAAUUGAGUUGGGAGAAGCUGAGGAAGAUUGCAUUUGGCGUUGCCCGUGGAGUGGAGUACUUGCACCAAGGAUGCAACCGAAGGAUUCUGCACUUCGAUAUCAAGCCUCACAAUAUAUUAUUAGACCAUAAUUUUCAACCGAAGAUUUCAGAUUUUGGGCUGGCUAAGUUGUGCUCUAAGGACAUAAGCAUUGUAUCUCUGACAGCUGCCAGAGGCACUGCUGGCUACAUGCACCUGAACNNNNNNNNNNNNNNNNNNNNNNNNNNNNNNNNNNNNNNNNNNNNNNNNNNNNNNNNNNNNNNNNNNNNNNNNNNNNNNNNNNNNNNNNNNNNNNNNNNNNUUCAAUUGGGUUGGGAGAAGAUGAGAAAGAUAACAUUGGGCGUUGCCCAAGGAAAGAGGGACUGGCCCCAGAGAUUGCAACAGAAGGAUUCUGCACUUCGAUAUCAAGCCUCACAAUUAUAUUAUUAGACCAUAAUUUUCAACCGAAGAUUUCAGAUUUUGGGCUGGCUAAGUUGUGCUCUAAGGACAUAAGCAUUGUAUCUCUGACAGCUGCCAGAGGCACUGCUGGCUACAUUGCACCUGAACUUUUCUCCAGGAAUUUUGGUGAGGUCUCUUACAAGUCUGAUGUUUACAGUUAUGGAAUGAUGCUGUUAGAGAUGGUCGGAUGCAGAAAAAAUAAUGAUCCUGCGGUUGAAAUUCAAAGCCAAAUAUAUUUUCCGGAGUGGAUUUACAAUAGAACGAGGCAAGGACAAGAGCUCUGUUUGGAAUUUGAGGAAGAUGGGGAUGAGGGAAUUGCCAGAAAGCUUGCAAUUGUGGCACUUUGGUGCAUUCAAUGGAAUCCCACGGAGAGACCUUCCAUGCCAAUGGUAUUACAAAUGCUUGAAGCUGAUUUACAAAGCUUGGAGAUCCCUCCAA
rnacentral:lncRNA from 1 species